UAUAUACUCCCUCCGUCCCAUAUUAAGUGACUCAAAUUUGGCCAAAUAUGGAUUUAUUUAUGCCUAAAAAACGUCUACAUACAUGUAAUAGAAAGUCACUUAAUAUGGGACAGAGGGAGUACAUG
rfam:Brachypodium distachyon strain Bd21 chromosome 5, whole genome shotgun sequence.